GUCCACGCCGUAAACGAUGGAUACUAGCUGUUGGGAGCAAUCUCAGUGGCUAAGCGAAAGUGAUAAGUAUCCCACCUGGGGAGUACGUUCGCAAGAAUGAAACUCAAAGGAAUUGACGGGGGCCCGCACAAGCGGUGGAGCAUGUGGUUUAAUUCGAUGAUACGCGAGGAACCUUACCAGGGUUUGACAUGCACAGGAAUGUUCCAGAGAUGGGGCAGCCCGCAAGGGUCUGUGCACAGGUGCUGCAUGGCUGUCGU
rnacentral:rRNA from 1 species